rnacentral:rRNA from 1 species
GGGUGACAGGUGGUGCGAUGGUUGUCGUCAGCUCGUGUCGUGAGAUGUUGGGUUAAGUCCCGCAACGAGCGCAACCCUCGACCUUAGUUGCCAGCAUUCAGUUGGGCACUCUAAGGUGACUGCCGGCUAAAAGUCGGAGGAAGGUGGGAUGACGUCAAAUCAUCAUGCCCCUUAUGACCUGGGCUACACACGUGCUACAAUGGGCGGUACAAAGGGUCGCGAACCCGCGAGGGGGAGCCAAUCCCAAAAAGCCGCUCUCAGUUCGGAUUGCAGGCUGCAACUCGCCUGCAUGAAGCCGGAAUCGCUAGUAAUCGCGGAUCAGCAUGCCGCGGUGAAUACGUUCCCGGGCCUU